rnacentral:rRNA from 1 species
UAGGUCUCAGUUCAGAUUGCAGGCUGCAACCCGCCUGCAUGAAGUCGGAAUUGCUAGUAAUCGCGGAUCAGCAUGCCGCGGUGAACACGUUCCCGGGCCUUGUACACACCGCCCGUCACACCAUGGGAGCCGGUAAUACCCGAAGUCAGUAGUCCAACCUCGUGAGGACGCUGCCGAAGGUAGGAUUGGCGACUGGGGUGAAGUCGUAACAAGGUAGC